rfam:Pan troglodytes isolate Yerkes chimp pedigree #C0471 (Clint) chromosome 1, whole genome shotgun sequence.
AUCACUUCUCAGCCUUUUGGCUAAGAUCAAGUGCAGUAUUUGUUAUUAGUUUAAAGCACAUGACUGGAAAAAUCUCC